rnacentral:rRNA from 1 species
GAGCGGUGGACGGGUGAGUAAUGCCUAGGAAUCUGCCUAAUAGUGGGGGAUAACUUGCCGAANGGUAAGCUAAUACCGCAUACGUCCUACGGGAGAAAGGAGGGGACCUUCGGGCCUUUCGCUAUUAGAUGAGCCUANGUCGGAUUAGCUAGUUGGUGAGGUAAUGGCUCACCAAGGCUGCGAUCCGUAACUGGUCUGAGAGGAUGAUCAGUCACACUGGAACUGAGACACGGUCCACACUCCUACGGGAGGCAGCAGUGGGGAAUAUUGGACAAUGGGGGCAACCCUGAUCCAGCCAUGCCGCGUGUGUGAAGAAGGUCUUAGGAUUGUAAAGCACUUUAAGUUGGGAGGAAGGGCAGUUAACUAAUAUUUGACUGUUUUGACGUUACCGACAGAAUAAGCACCGGCUAACUUCGUGCCAGCAGCCGCGGUAAUACGAAGGGUGCAAGCGUUAAUCGGAAUUACUGGGCGUAAAGCGCGCGUAUGUGGUUCGUUAAGUUAGGAGUGAAAGCCCCGGGCUCAACCUGGGAAUUGCUUCUAAAACUGGCGAGCUAAAGUAUGGUAAAAGGGUGGUGGAAUUUUCCUGUGUUACGGUGAAA